UACGUAGGGUCCGAGCGUUGUCCGGAAUUAUUGGGCGUAAAGAGCUCGUAGGCGGUGUGUCGCGUCGGAUGUGAAAGCCCGGGGCUUAACUUCGGGUCUGCAUUCGGUACGGGCAUGCUGGAGUUCGGUAGGGGAGACUGGAAUUCCUGGUGUAGCGGUGAAAUGCGCAGAUAUCAGGAGGAACACCGAUGGCGAAGGCAGGUCGCUGGGCCAUAACUGACGCUGAGAAGCGAAAGCAUGGGGAGCGAACAGG
rnacentral:rRNA from 1 species